rnacentral:misc_RNA from 1 species
AAACUGCGAUAAGUAGUGUGAAUUGCAUUUAGUGAAUCAUCGAAUCUUUGAACGCACCCUGCACUCACUGGUAUUCCGGUGAGUACGCCUGUUUCAGUAUCAUUGAAAACACACAAUCAAAACAAUUUCUUUGGUUUGAUUGGCUUUGGGUCUAUCAAAAAGUUUGGCUUGUUUCUUACAAGCCAAGCGGCCUGAAAUAUAUUGUCUGGCUAAUUGCAUCGUUGAUGAUCGCUAUUAGACUUUGGCUUUUUUAAAUGAACUGGAGGUUGAUUAACCAGUUUUAGCUUUAGUCAAAUGGUCAUUGUAAAAAAAAUCUCGAUCUUGGCUAGGUGUUUAUAGCCGAAAAUUUUUUUUUGGCUAUAACCGAAACCAAUAUAAUCACAUUUAGUUAUCGAUCUGAAAUCAGGUGGGACUACCCGCUGAACUUAAGC